AGCAGCCGCGGUAAUUCCAGCUCCAAUAGCGUAUAUUAAAGUUGUUGCAGUUAAAAGCUCGUAGUUGAAUUUCGGGAUCAAUUAAUUGGUCGUGCCUAUGGUACGUACUGAUUUUAUUGGUUUCUCCCUUCUGACGAACCAUGAUGUCAUUAAUUUGGUGUCGUGGAGAAUCAGGACUGUUACUUUGAAAAAAUUAGAGUGUUUAAAGCAGGCUAACGCUUGAAUACAUUAGCAUGGAAUAAUGAAAUAGGACGUUUGAUCCUAUUUUGUUGGUUUCUAGGAUCGACGUAAUGAUUAAUAGGGAUAGUUGGGGGCAUUAGUAUUCAAUUGUCAGAGGUGAAAUUCUUGGAUUUAUUGAAGACUAACUACUGCGAAAGCAUUUGCCAAGGAUGUUUUCAUUAAUCAAGAACGAAAGUUAGGGGAUCGAAGACGAUCAGAUACCGUCGUAGUCUUAACCAUAAACUAUGCCGACUAGGGAUCGGAUGAUGUUAAUUUUUUCAAUGACUCAUUCGGCGCCUUA
rnacentral:misc_RNA from 1 species